UUUUCUUCUCGGCCUCUGGCUAAGAUCAAAGUGUAGUAUCUGUUCUUAUCAGCUUAAUAUCUAAGACCUUAUUAAUGUUGGGAAACAGAAAUAAAUCCGCAGUCGACAAACACA